UGGGUAACACUAACUGGAGGACCGAACCGACUAAUGUUGAAAAAUUAGCGGAUGACCUGUGGCUGGGGGUGAAAGGCCAAUCAAACCGGGAGAUAGCUGGUUCUCCCCGAAAGCUAUUUAGGUAGCGCCUCGUGAAUUCAUCUCCGGGGGUAGAGCACUGUUUCGGCUAGGGGGCCAUCCCGGCUUACCAACCCGAUGCAAACUGCGAAUACCGGAGAAUGUUAUCACGGGAGACACACGGCGGGUGCUAACGUCCGUCGUGAAGAGGGAAACAACCCAGACCGCCAGCUAAGGUCCCAAAGUCAUGGUUAAGUGGGAAACGAUGUGGGAAGGCCCAGACAGCCAGGAUGUUGGCUUAGAAGCAGCCAUCAUUUAAAGAAAGCGUAAUAGCUCACUGGUCGAGUCGGCCUGCGCGGAAGAUGUAACGGGGCUAAACCAUGCACCGAAGCUGCGGCAGCGACACUGUGUGUUGUUGGGUAGGGGAGCGUUCUGUAAGCCUGUGAAGGUGUGUCGUGAGGC
rnacentral:rRNA from 1 species